ensembl:lncRNA
UAUCGAUCAGUACAGCCAGUGGGAGAUCUGCACUGUCAGUGUCAAUGUAUCGGUCAGUACAGCCAGUGGGAGAUCUGCACUGUCAGUGUAUCGGUCAUACAGCCAGUGGGAGAUCUGCACUGUCAGUGUAUCGGUCAGUACAGCCAGUGGGAGAUCUGCACUGUCAGUGUCAAUGUAUCGGUCAGUACAGCCAUGGAAUUUGUCCACAGACACAACAUGCCCAAUCCUUCUGGCUUAUUAUUUGAGUGUUACUCGUUUGAGGUCUUGUCUGAGUUCACUGAUUGAUCUUGUCAUCAGUUCAAUGUUGUUGGAAUGGUCACCCACAUUCUCUUUCUGACGUUACAGUACAAAUGGAUCAGAUUUUUAUGAUUAAUUUUGUUUCUUUUUUUGUAGAUGUUUUUGUUGUAUUUAUUCCUGAAAGCUCAGGCCAUGUUCUAUUUCUGAGAGUAAAAAGAAGACAGGAAGCCGCACCAAACUGUGCUCUUAUGACCGUAACCAUGUGUUGCUUUUCUCCCUAUGUUUUUCUGUUUGCUGGAAUAGGCUCCAUCAUGCGCUGUGCUCCACGUCAUGACUGCUGUGUGUAUGUAUAGCUCUGUCUGUCUGUCUGUCUGUCUGUCUGUCUGUCUGUCUGUCUGUCUGUCUGUCUGUCUGUCUGUCGUGCACUUUUAAUCAUGAUGAUGAUUUUACAAAAGGCCUCUUCAACUGUGGGGUAAUUUGGCGUGUGUUCUCUGCAGUUUAAAAAAAUAAUUUAACAGUACCCUUUGCAUUUUUUUUUUCUCAGUGUCUUUCAUUCUGUUUGGGUUUAGUGUAUUUACACAUGGCUGUGCAGUCUGACACAAUGGCCCAACUCCCGACUAAAAUGAAGUCAUUCUGUUGAUGAACCCAUAACGGAACAUUUCAGAGUAUGUUCUGGGUCUAGAACAGAGUGGCUUCUCGUUCUAGAACAGAGUAGAUUCUAGUUCUAGAACAGAGUAGAUUCUAGUUCUAGAACAGAGUAGGUUCUAGUUCUAGAACAGAAUAGAUUCUAGUUCUAGAACAGAGUACAUUCUAGUUCUAGAACAGAGUAUGUCCUGGGUCUAGAACAGGGUGGCGCCUAGUUCUAGAACAGAGUGGCGCCUAGUUCUAGAACAGAGUGGCGCCUAGUUCUAGAACAGAGUGGCGCCUAGUUCUAGAACAGAGUGGCACCUAGUUCUAGAACAGAUUGGCGUCUAGUUCUGGAACAGAGUGGUUUCUGGUUCUGGAACUCUUGGCUUAGACAUGCAGUAGCAUAUAACAUAAGCCAGAGCCACUUUUCUGCUCAAGUGGUUUUGGAAUAAAUGGCUCCUGCUCAAGUGGUUUUGGCCAUGUAUUCCAAAAUUAUUUUAUUGUAGUUCAUAAUUCCAUGUGUUCCACUUCCCUGAUGUUUUAUUUUUUUUAACCUUUAUUUAACCAGGCAAGUCAGUUAAGAAUAAAUUCUUAUUUUCAAUGACGGCCUAGAAACAGUGGCUUAACUGCCUGUUCAGGGGCAGAAUGACAGAUGUGUACCUUGUCAGCUCGGGGACUUGACUUGCAACCUUUCGGUUACUAGUCCAACGCUCGAACCACUAGGCUACCCUGCCGCCCCGUCAUAUCGUACACGUGCCUUUUGGAUUUUCAUUUGGCUUGCAGCUAUCCAAAUAUAUAAUGAUAAAAUAAGCAUUUCAAAAGAGGAUGUCUCUGGAAAGUCUUUUUUCAUGUACCAUGUGUUUCAACUGCUGUUCAAAUAACUGUAUGUGAGGGAAAGGUAUUGUUUGUUUUAUAAAUCAUACUGUUUUUUUUUAUUUUAAAUCAAAGAUCUUUGUAAAUGACCAUAACUUGGAAGGCUGUGCUUUGAAUACAACUAAUUAGAGAAAGUAGUAUUUUAUUGAACAGACCCAUUGAGUUUUUUGCCUUUGCUAAAAAAUGUAUUAAAGUAAUAUGAAAACUG